rnacentral:lncRNA from 1 species
GCUCCCGAGGACACACGGGAAUUUCUGUCAUGCUAGUUUCAUCAUGUUCAUAUGAUUCGCGUUUGUUACUUUGAUAGUUUGAUAUGUGGGUGGACCGAUGCUUGGGUACUACCCUUACUUGGACAAGCAUCCCACUUAUGAUUAACCCCUCUCGCAAGCAUCCGCAACUACGAAAGAAGAAUUAAGAAAAAGUCUAACCAUAGCAUUAAACUAGUGGAUCCAAAUCAGCCCCUUACGAAGCAACACAUAAACUAGGGUUUAAGCUUCUGUCACUCUAGCAACCCAUCAUAUACUUACUACUUCCCAAUGCCUUCCUCUAGGCCCAAAUAAUGGUGAAGUUUUAUGUAGUCGACGUUCACAUAACACCACUAGAGGAAAAAAACAUAUCAAAAUACCGAACGAAUACCAAAUUCACAUGACUAUUAUUAGCAUGACUUAUCCCAUGUCCUCAGGAACAAAAGUAACUACUCACAAAGCAUAAUCAUAAUCAUGAUCAGAGGUGUAAUGAGUAGCAUCAAGGAUCUGAACAUAAACUCUUUCACCUAGUAAUCCAACUAGCAUCAACUACAAAGAGUAAUCAACACUACUAGCAACCUUACAAGUACCAAUCAGAGUCGCGAGACGGAGAUUGGUUACAAGAGAUGAACUAGGAUUUGGAGAUGAGAUGGUGCUGGUGAAGAUGUUGAUGAUGACGAGUCCCCUCCGAUGAGAGGACUGUUGGUGAUGACGAUGGCAACGAUUUCCCCCUCCAUGAGGGAAGUUUCCCCGGCAGGAUCGUCCUGCCGGAGCUCUAGAUUGGUUCUGCUCAAGUUCCGCCUCAUGACGGUGGCGAAACCACGAAAAAGCUCCCCUCUGAUUUUUUUCCUGGACGAAACCCUCCAUAUAGCAAAAGAGGGGGGCCAGUGGGCCAGUGGGCUGCCCACAAGCCCCCAUGGCGCGGCCUAGGGGGGUGGCCGCGCCUUGCAGGUUUGUGGGCACGCCCUGGUGCCCCUCCGGCACUUCUUCGACCCAGUAUUUUUUAUAAAUUAGGAAAAAAAUCUCCGUUGAUUUUCACGGCGUUUGGAGUUGCGGAGAAUAGGUAUCUCAACUUUGCUCCACUUUCAGGCCAGAAUUCCAGUUGCCGGUAUUCUCCCUCUUCAUGUAAACCUUGCAAAAUAAGAGAGAAAAGGCAUACGAAUAGUACCGUGAAGUGAAAUAACAACCAAAGAGGCGAUAAAUAUCAACAUGAAAAGAUGAUGCAAAAUGGACGUAUCAGCCGGCGCCCUUGGGGCUCCCUUGAGCCCCAAGUCUAGCCCUCCCCUCCUCCUAUAUAUAUUUGUGGUUUUAGGGAUUUUGAGAAACAACUUUGCCACGUGCAACUCAAACCUAUACCAUGUAGUUCUUCCUCUAGAUCGGAUUUCUGUGGAGCUCGGGUAGAGCCGUGAAGGAGUAGAUCAUCACCACCACCGGUGCGCCGUCACGCUACCGAAGAACUCAUCUACUUCCCCGUCUCUCUUGGUGGAUCAAGAAGGCAGAGAUCGUCAUCGAGCUGUACGUGUGCUGAACGCGGAGGUGCCGUCCGUUCGGCGCUAGAUCAGAACGGAUCGUGGGACGACGGUGAUUUGAAUCACAAAGUUGUACCACUACAUCAACCGCGUUUCUUAACGCUUCCCGCUUAGCGAUCUACAAGGGUAUGUGGAUCCAAUCUCCCACCCGUAGAUGAAUGAUACGUCUCAAACGUAUCUAUAUUUUUUGAUGGUUUCAUGCUGUUAUCUUGUCAUCUUUGGAUGUUUUAUGUACCUUUUAUAUAUUUUUUGGGACUAACUUAUUAAUUCAGCGCCAAGUGCUAGUUCCUGUUUUUUCUGUGUUUUUGGUUCUUUUCAGAUUUGAUUUUGGAACGGAGUCCAAACGGAAUAAAAUCCCCGAAAUGAUUUUUCCUGAACGAAAGAAGAUAAGGGGGCUUGUGGGCCAAGCUAGGAGGGCUACAGGGAGCCCACAAGCCCCCUCGCCGCCACCAGGGGGGUUGCGCAGGGCAGGCUUGUGGCCUCCCUGGUGCCCCCUGACCUACAUCUUUCGCCUAUAUAUUCCCUAAAAUACAGCAAAAAAUCAAGGGAUCCAUGAAAAUACUUUUCCGCCGCCGCAAGCUUCCGUUUCCGCGAGAUCUCAUCUGGAGACCCUUCCCGGUGCCCUGCCGGAGGUGACUUUGGAGUUGGAGGGCUUCUUCAUCAUCAUCAUCGCUCCUCCAAUGACUCGUGAGUAGUUCACCUCAUACCUACGGGUCCGUAGUUAGUAGCUAGAUGGCUUCUUCUCUCUCUUGGAUCUUCAAUACAAAGUUCUCCAUGAUCUUCAUGGAGAUCUAUCCGAUGUAAUCUUCUUUGGCGGUGUGUUUGUCGAGAUCCGAUGAAUUGUGGAUUUGUGAUAAGAUUAUCUAUGAUAUAUAUUUGAGUCUUUGCUGAUUUCUUAUAUGCAUGAUUUGAUAUCAUUGUAAGUCUCUACGAGUCUUGGGUUUUGUUUGGCCAACUAGAUCUAUGAUUCUUGCAAUGUGAGAAGUGCUUGGUUUUGGGUUCUUACCAUGUGGUGACCUUUCCCAGUGACAGUAGGGACAGCAAGGCACACAUCAUGUAGUUUCCAUCAAGGGUAACAAGGUGGGCUCUGUCGUAGAUAUGAGAUUGUCCAUCUACAUCAUGUCAUAUUGCUUAAGGCGUUACUCUGUUCUUUUGGACUUAAUACACUAGAUGCAUGCUGGAUAGCGGUCGACAUGUGGAGUAAUAGUAGUAGAUGCAGAAAGUAUCAGUCUACUUGUUUUGGACAUGAUGCCUAUAGAUAUAAUCAUUGCCAUAGAUGACGUCACGACUUUGCGCGGUUCUAUCAAUUGCUCGACAGUAAUUCAAUCACCCACCGUCUACUUGCUUUCAUGAGAGAAGCCACUAGUAAACACUACGGCCCCUGGGUCUAUUCACACCUAUCGUUUCCACUUUAGCUUUUACUUUGCUUUGUUACUUUGUUGCUUUCAGUUCUCACUUGGCAAACAAUCUAUAAGGGAUUGACAACCCCUUCAUAGGGUUGGGAGCAAGCUUUUUGUGUUUGUGCAGGCUCUUGUGAUACUCCUUCACUGGAUCGAUACCCUGGUUCUCAAAACUAAGGGAAAUACUUACCAACGUUGUGCUACAUCGCCCUUUCCGCUUCGAGGGAACACCACCACAAGGCUCCAAGGCCACGGGGGAAAUCCUUUGCAUAUUUGCCUAGGAAGUCCCUUAAGGCGUAGCCGUAGCAGAAGGAUUCCUGGUGCCAUCAACACACCUAUUUCUGGCGCCGUUGGAAGGUCUUUUUUGCAGUAGCAGAAGUAUUUCUGGCGUCGUUGCCGGGGAAGGAGAGAUCUAUCCAAGUAGGUCUCACAAACUCAUCUCUCGCAUUUAAUUUUUUGCCAGUUGCCUCUCGUUUUCCUCUUCCCCACUUCACAUUUGCCGUUUUCAUUUGCCUUUCUCCUUUGACGUUUUUCUUUUGCCUUUUGCCUUUUUGCCGUUUUCCUUUGCCAGUUUUCUUGCUUGCUUGUGUGCUUGUUUGUUUGUUGAAGUCAUCAUGGCUGAAAACACCAAACUUUACGACUUCUCGAGUACCUAUAAUAAUGAUUUUAUUAGUACUCCGAUUGCUCCCGCCACUAGUGCGGAAUCGUAUGAAAUCAACGCAGCUUUGCUGAAUCUUGUUAUGAAAGAGCAAUUCUCGGGCCUUCCUAGUGAAGAUGCCGCAUCCCAUCUCAAUACCUUCAUUGAGCUUUGUGAUAUGCAAAAGAAAAGAUAUGUGAAUAAUGACGUGAUUAAGUUGAAACUUUUUUCCUUUCUCGUUGUGAGAUCAUGCAAAAGCUUGGUUUUCUUCUUUGCCUAAAAAUAGUAUCGAUUCUUGGGAUAAGUGCAAAGAUGCUUACAUAUCCAAGUAUUUUCCGUCGGCUAAGAUCAUCUCCUUACGUAAUGAUAUCAUGAAUUUCAAGCAACUUGAUCAUGAACACGUUGCACAAUCUUGGGAGAGGAUGAAGCUUAUGAUUAGAAAUUGUCCCGCUCAUGGCUUGAGUUUGUGGAUGAUUAUACAAAUCUUUUACGCUGGCUUGAAUUUCGCUUCUCGCAAUAUCUUGGACUCCGCCUCAGGUGGAACGUUCAUGGAAAUCACAUUAGGAGACGCUACAAAACUCCUAGACAAUAUCAUGACCAACUACUCUCAGUGGCACACUGAAAGGUCACCUGCUAGCAAAAAGGUACACGCUAUAGAAGAGAUUAACUCGCUUAGUGCUAAGAUGGACGAGUUGAUGAAUUUGGUUGCUAGUAGAAACGCUACUGUAGAUCCUAAUGACAUGCCACUAUCUUCCUUGAUUGAGAGUAGCAACGCUAGUUUGGACGUGAAUUUUGUUGGUAGGAACAAUUUUGGGAACAACAACGCUUUUAGAGGAAACUAUGUUCCUAGACCUUUUCCUAGUAACUCCUCUAACAAUUAUGGCAAUUCCUACAACAACACUUAUGGAAAUCACAACAAGUUACCCUCUGGUUUAGAGAGUAAUAUCAAAAAGUUCAUCAACUCUCAAAAGAUUUUCAAUGCGUCCAUAGAGGAAAAACUACUCAAAAUUGACGAUUUGGCUAAGAGCGUUGAUAGGAUGUCUUGUGAUAUUGAUGCUUUUAAAGUUAGAUGUGCUCCUCCCAAGGUCAACUUGGAUGAAACUUUGAAAGCUAUGCGUGUCUCCAUGAAUGAGAGCAAAGAAAGAACCGCCCAAAUUCGCGCUAGGCAUGAAUGGUUUAAAAGGGUACGUUCUAGUGAUGCAAAUCACGAAGAUCUUAAAGUACUUGGUGUGUCUCCUCUUGAAUAUUUGUUUUCGCGUGUCAAACCUAUUUAUGGAGGGGCUGUAUAUGACUCCACUUUGGUUGAAAAACGCCCCAAUGAUUCGGAGUCCACCCAUCUUGAUGAUAAAGGUGUGGAGAGUGGAGUAGAAGAAAUCAAAAUUUUGGGUAGUAAUGAAACUCCCACUUUGGAUUUCAAGGAAUCCAAUUAUGAUAAUUGCUCCUUGUUUGAAUUCAUUUCUUUGAUGCAAUCCAUUGCAAACUCUCCACAUGCUUAUAGCCAAAGCAAAGCCUUUACCGCGCAUAUCGUAGAUGCUAUGAUGAAAUCUCUUCAAGAGAAGCUCGAAUUAGAAGUCUCUAUACCUAGAAAACUUCAUGAUGAGUGGGAACCUACUAUCAAAAUCAAGAUCAAAAACUAUGAGUGCAAUGCUUUGUGUGAUUUGGGUGCUAGUGUUUCCGCGAUUCCAAAGUCUUUAUGUGAUAUUCUUGGUUUUCCUGAGAAUGAAGAGUGUUCUCUUAAUUUGCAUCUUGCGGAUUCUACUGUCAAGAAAACCAUGGGAAGGAUCGGUGAUGUUCUUAUUGUUGCAAAUAAGAACUAUGUACCCGUGGAUUUCAUUGUACUUGACAUAGAUUGCAAUCCUUCAUGUCCCAUUAUUCUUGGUAGACCUUUCCUAAGGACUAUUGGUGCUAUCAUCGAUAUGAAGGAAGGGAAUAUUAGAUUUAAAUUUCCUUUAAAGAAGGGCAUGGAGCACUUUCCUAGAAAGAAAAAAAUAUUGCCUUAUGAAUCUAUGAUGAGGGCUACUUAUGGUUUGAGCACCAAAGAUGACUAUACGUGAUUCCAUCACCUUUCGCCUAGCUAAGGGCGUUAAACAAAAGCGCUUGUUGGGAGGCAACCCAAUGAAUCUAUCCUUUUUCUUUCUGUUUUGUGUUUUCCACACUUUCAUAAUUCUGUUAUGAUUGUGUUUUGUGUGUCUUUUUGCGUUUGUGCCAAGCAAAACCGUUAUGAUUAGUCUUGGGGAUGAUCGUUUGGUCAUGCUGGAAAAGACAGAAACUUUCUGCUCACGAAAAGAAUUUUCAUUUUUUUUUCUGUAAGAGAUUUUGAGUUGAUUCUUUUUUGCUUCUGAUUGCUACGCAAAUUCUUCAUACUGUCGUAAUUUGUGAGAACUUUUGAAGUACCAGAAGUAUACGAAAUAUACAGAUUGCUACAGACUGGUCUGCUGUUAACAGAUUCUGUUUUUGUUGUGUUGGUUGCUUAUUUUGAUGAAACUAUGGAUAGUAUCGGGGGGUAUUAGCCAUGGAAUAUUGAAGAUGCAAUAACCCAACAUCAACAUAAGUAGAAUUUAAGUUUGCUACAGUACCUAAGGAAGUGGUGUUUUGCUUUCUCAUACUAAUGUUAUCAUGAGUUUCUGUUUAAGUUUCGUGUUAUGAAGUUUUCAAGUUUUGGGUGAAGUUCUUAUGGACAAAGAGAUAAAGAGUGUCAAGAGCUCAAGCUUGGGGAUGCCCAAGGCACCCCAAUAGAUUCAAGGGUGCUGUAAAAGCCUAAGCUUGGGGAUGCCCCGGGAAGGCAUCCCCUCUCUCGUCUUCAAUCCAUCGGUAACGUUACUUGGGGCUAUAUUUUUAUUCACCACAUGUUAUGUGUUUUUGCUUGGAGCGUCUUGUAUCGUAGGAGUCUUUUAUUUUUGUUGUGUCACAAUCAUUCUUUCUGCACACCUAGAGAGAGAGACAUGCACUCACCGUGAUUUUGUCGAGCUUCACUUAUAUCUUUUGGUAGACAAUUCAGCUCACUUGUGCUUCACUUAUAUCUUUUGAGCUAGAUACUUUUGUUCUAUGUGCUUCACUUAUAUCUUUUAGAGCAUAGUGGUGCGUGGCUUGGUAGUUGAUCUAUGCUUUGAAAUUAGUAUCAAAAGGGGUAGUUAUCCAAAGGGAUACGAAAACUUCUACCUUCAUGUGCAUUGAAUAGUUAGAGAAGUUUGAUUCAUCUCAAUUAGUUUUGAGUUGUGGUUAUGGUAAUAUUGAAGUCAGGCUAGUAAGGUGUUGUGGAUCUAGAAAUACUUGUGUUGAAGUUAGUGAUUCCCGUAGAAUGCACGUAUGGUGAACCGCUAUGUGAUGAAAUUUGAGCAUGAUUAGUCUAUUGAUUGUCAUCCUUUGUGUGGCGGUCGGGAUCGCGCGAUGGUUUAUACCUACCAACCCUUCCCCUAGGACUAUGCGUUGAAUGCUUUGUUUCGAUUACUAAUAAAAUUUUUGCAACAAGUAUAUGAGUUCUUCAUGACUAAUGUUGAGUUCAUGGUUUAGAUGCACUUUCACCUUCCACCAUCACUAUCUUCUUAGUGCCGUGCAACUUUCGCCGGUGCACAAAACCCACCAUUAGCCUCCCUCAAAUCAGCCACCAUACCUACCUACUAUGGCUUUUUCAAAGUCAUUCCGAGAUAUAUUGCCAUGAAACUACCACCAUGACAUGUGCCACCACUUCUACAUUGCCAUUGCAUGAUCAUAAUAUAGCUAGCAUGAUGUUUCCAUUAAUGUCUAUGCCAUGCUAGAUCGUUGUCACGGUACACUACCGAAGGUAUUCCAUAUAGAGUCAUCGUUGCUCUAAGUUUUGAGUUGAAAGUGUGAUGAUCAUUAUUGAUGGAACAUUGUCCCAUGUGAGGAAAUAAAAGAGGCCAAAGAAGCCCAUAAAAAAAAAGAGGCCAAAAAGCCCACCAAAAAAAUAAAAAAAUGAGAGAAAAAGAGAGAAGGGACAAUGUUACCACUUUUCCACACUUGUGCAUAUUAAGCACCAUGAUCUUCAUGAUUGAGAGUCUCUCGUUUUGUCACCACCAUAUAGCUAGUGGGAAAUUUUCAUUUUAUAACUUGGCUUGUAUAUUCCAAUGAUAGGCUUCCUCAAAAUUUCCUUAGGUCUUCGUGAGCAAGCAAUUUGGAUGCACACCCACUAGUUUUCUUUAAGAGCUUUCACAUACUAUUAGCUCUAGUGCAUCAUUUGUAUGGCAAUCCCUACUCAUUCACAUUGAUAUCUAUUGAUGAGCAUCUCCACAGCUCAUUGAUAUGCCUAGUUAAUGUGACCAUCUUCUCCUUGUUUUGUCUUGCAACCUCCACCACACUCCACACCAUCUAUAGUGCUAAAACCAUGGCUCACGCUCAUGUAUUGCAUGAAAGUAGAAAAGGUUUGAGAAAGUAAAGGUGUGAAACAAUUACUUGGCCAAUACCGGGGUUGUGCAUGAUUUAAAUUCUUUGUGCAAUGAUGAUAGAGCAUAGCCACGCUAUAUGCUUUUGUAGGGAUAACUUUCUUUUGGCCUUGUUAUUUUGAAAGUUCAUGAUUACCUUGCUAGUUUGCUUGAAUUAUUAUUGUUUCCACGUCAAUAGCAAACUAUUGUUUUGAAUCUAAUGGAUCUGAACAUUCACAUCACAUAAGAGGAGUUACAAAGGACAUCUAUGCUAGGUAGCAUGAAAGCAUCAAAAAUUCAUUCUUUAUCACUUCCCUACUCGAGGACGAGGAGGAGUUAAGCUUGGGGAUGCUUGAUACGUCUCAAACGUAUCUAUAAUUUUUGAUGGUUUCAUGCUGUUAUCUUGUCAUCUUUGGAUGUUUUAUGUACCUUUUAUAUCUUUUUUGGGACUAACUUAUUAAUUCAGUGCCAAGUGCCAGUUCAUGUUUUUCUGUGUUUUUGGCUCUUUUCAGAUCUGAUUUUGGAACGGAGUCCAAACGGAAUAAAAUCCCCAAAAUGAUUUUUUACCGAACUAAAGAAGAUCACGGGGCUUGUGGGCCAAGCCAGGAGGGCUACAGGGAGCCCACAAGCCCCCUCGCCGCCACCAGGGGGGUGGCGCAGGGUAGGCUUGUGGCCUCCCUGGCGCCCCCCUGACCUACAUCUUUCGCCUAUGUAUUCCCUAAAAUACAACAAAAAAAAUCAAGGGAUCCACGAAAAUACUUUUCCACCGCCACAAGCUUCCGUUUCCGCGAGAUCUCAUCUGGAGACCCUUCCCGAUGCCUUGCCGGAGGGGACUUUGGAGUUGGAGGGCUUCUUCAUCAUCAUCAUCGCCCCUCCAAUGACUCGUGAGUAGUUCACUUCAGACCUACGGGUCCGCGGUUAGUAGCUAGAUGGCUUCUUCUCUCUCUUGGAUCUUCAAUACAAAGUUCUCCAUGAUCCUCAUGGAGAUCUAUCCGAUGUAAUCUUGUUUGGCGGUGUGUUUGUCGAGAUCCGAUGAAUUGUGGAUUUGUGAUCAGAUUAUCUAUGAUAUAUAUUUGAGUCUUUGCUGAUUUCUUAUAUGCAUGAUUUGAUAUCCUUGUAAGUCUCUCCGAGUCUUGGGUUUUGUUUGGCCAACUAGAUCUAUGAUUCUUGCAAUGGAAGAAGUGCUUGGUUUUGGGUUCUUACCGUGUGGUGACCUUUCCCAGUGAUAGUAGGGGCAGCAAGGCACACAUCAUGUAGUUGCCAUCAAGGGUAACAAGGUGGGCUUUGUCGUAGAUAUGAGAUUGUCCAUCUACAUCAUGUCAUCUUGCUUAAGGUGUUACUCUGUUCUUUUGGACUUAAUACACUAGAUGCACGCUGGAUAGCGGUCGACGUGUGGAGUAAUAGUAGUAGAUGCAGAGAGUAUCGGUCUACUUGUUUUGGACGUGAUGCCUAUAGAUAUAAUCAUUUCUAUAGAUGACGUCACGACUUUGCGCGGUUCUAUCAAUUUCUCGACAGUAAUUCGUUCACGCAUCGUCUAGUUGCUUUCAUGAGAGAAGCCACUAGUAAACACUACGGCCCCCGGGUCUAUUCACACCUAUCGUUUCCACUUUCGCUUUUACUUUGCUUUGUUACUUUGUUGCUUUCAGUUCUCACUUGGCAAACAAUCUAUAAGGGAUUGACAACCCCUUCAUAGCGUUGGGAGCAAGCUUUUUGUGUUUGUGCAGGCUCUUGUGAUACUCCUUCACUGGAUCGAUACCUUGGUUCUCAAAACUGAGGAAAAUACUUACCACCGCUGCGCUACAUCACCCUUUCCGCUUCAAGGGAACACCAAUGCAAGGCUCCAAGGCCACGGGGGAAAUCCUUUGCAUAUUUUCCUAGGAAGUCCCUUAAGGCGUAGCCGUAGCAGAAGGAUUCCUGGUGCCGUCAACACACCUAUUUCUGGCGCCGUUGGAAGGUCUUUUGUUGUAGUAGCAAUGAACAUCAUCAUGAUAGGUCUUCGUGUGCGUAGGAUUUUUUUGUUUCCCAUGCAACGUUCCCCAACAUAUCAAACCUUACAUACUCAAGGGGAGAAACACCAUUAAGGAGAAGAGAGAGUUACAAAUUUGUAUUUUCUGGAUUGAACUUGUCUCACCCUACCUACUCCCAAUAUCUAUAUGCUAUGAUUGAGGGGGAGAGGUAAUCAUAAAUUCAUUCUUAAGGGAGAAAGUUCUAAAUUUUCUUGGAGACAUAUCUAUCAUCAAAUCAUAUUUUCUCAUAUGUUCUCCAUAUAUUGGUGUUGUUGAAGCUCUUUGCAUCUUUACAAUAGUAUACUCUUGUGUUAUCUAACAACUGUUUUCUCAAGUGUACUCCUACUGCUAAGAUGCUCAAGAUCCUCAAGGUAAGUAUAUGCAUCAUAUCCUUGUUCAUGAUGAUCUCUUCUUUCUUGCACAUAUUGUUUGCAAUAGGGAGUCUUAAACAUGGAACUUCUUCAUUCAUAUGUGUUUUAUGCAUAUUUAAAAGAUUUACAUGACUUGUCUUAUCCUUUCUACCUUAUGUGUUACCAUGCAUUCCAAAGCAACUAUCCUUUAAAAAAGGGAUUGCACACAUUUAGGGGGAGCUUGUACUAGUCAUAUAUCUUUCAAAGCUGUCAUAUUCUAAUGCCUAUUUUUAUUUGAAGCUUUGAUUGUAUGUUGUCAUCAAUUACCAAAAAGGGGGAGAUUGAAAGCACAUAUGCUCCCUUGGUGGUUUCGAUAAUUCAUGACAACAUACAUUGUCUCUUGGACUAACACUUUUACCUAGUACAUUUUAGGUUUAGUCCAUAGAGAGCAUUGGCUAAAGUUUUGUGAGGAGACACCCCUCGAUGAAGGAAAGGGAAUAGGAUUGGCUCAAGCUUCAAGCAAGAAGACUCUUCAUUUUAUAUUUGCGAGAAAUCACUUUUGAGUCCACAGGAAAGUCAAUACUAUUAAAGGGGGCGAGGUAUUAAAAUGAACUCGUUGCUCAAGUGCUCAGAGAUAGCCACCAAAAGUACUCAGUCAUUUUCCCACAUAACACUUUUGUACAAAGCCAAAUAUCCAAAAUCGGUGCCACCAAGUUUUUAGUUUCGGCCCUACCAAUUUUCAAUCCAGACAGAACCCUAGCAAAACCUACCAUUUCGGUACCACCGAUUCUGCAUCGGUGCUACUGAGUUCAGGUGAGCAACCUUUUGUUGCCUCGGUAAAAAAAUCAGAAUUUCCGAGUUUGGGUAUUGGUGUCACCGAGUCGGGUCAUCUCACCGUUAACCACCUUUUCGGUUCUACCGAGUUGUGUAUAUCGGUCUCACCGAGAUUCAAAACUUGUUGCCUUUUGUGCAAGUCGGUACCACCGAGUUUAUGAAUUCAGUGUCACCGAGUUGGUCACUUUAGGUGUAACAGUUGGAUUUUGGGUGAUGCUUGUAUAUACCCCUCGACAAACCUCUCAUUCGUACAAGAAGCACUCAGAACACACACACUUCAUUGCCAGAUCCAUUUUUCUGAGAGAGAGCCACCUACUCAUGUGUUGAGAUGAAGAUAUUCCAAUCCAUUCAUUUGAAACUUGAUCUCUAGCCACCCCAAGUUGCUUUCCACCAAAUCAACCUCUCCUACCCAUGCCUAUUCUGUGAGAGAGUGAUUGAGUGUUGAGGAGACUAUCUUUAGACGCACAAGAGCGAGGAGUUAAUCUUUCUACCACAUCUAUUACCUUUUGGAGGGUGGUGCCUCCUAAAUUGGUCAGGAGUCGCUAGGGAGCCUCCUACUUCAUGUUGUGGAGUUGAACCAAGAUGUUUGUAAGGGCAAGGAGAUUGCCUAAUUUGUGGAGAUCUACCGUGAGUGAGGCUAGUCCUUCAUGGACAGAAGCCGUGGUAGAAUAGACAAGGCCACUUCUUUCUGGACCCCUUGUGGGUGGAGCCCUCCAUGGAAUCUCGUAGUCAUUACCCUCCGUGGGUUGAAGUCUCCACUAACAUGGACGUACGAUAGCACCACCUAUCGGAACCAUGCCAAAAAUCGCCAUGUCAACCUCUUUGCGUUUGGUCAGCUAAACUCUACUCCUUACUAGAUGUGCAAAGUCUUUCACUUUUCGCUGCCAUAUAUGUUGACUAGCAUGUGUAGGGUGCACUAGACUUGUUAGAAUCGCUAAAAUCUGCCAACCAUUAAUUUGGGAAAAGGCUAGGAUUUUAAUCUUGUCAAGUAGUCUAUUCACCCCCUCUAGACACCUCUUCUAUCGAUCCUACAAACGAAGCUCGGUGUUGAUAACCGAAGCACGGGCUACGCAUGCGAGGUAUCUCGAGGUCAAGAAACUCAAUGAGUAGGCGCUAGAUGCUUUUGGGGGACGUCGUGAUGCCCAUGAAGUACGCAGACACGACUAGGGCUUGAAGGAGUCGGAGAUCAAAUAGCGACGAUUGGCAAUCGGAGGUAGGGAAGAUGAUGACCAAGGCGACGAUUCUAGCCUCCUUUCGUUAAUUCCCUUUAGGAGAUGCUCAUGGAGUAAUUGUGAACCUCUUAGACACCUUACUGGGGCUCGUGGAAGCCGCCGGCCACGCGUACGACCAAUUUUCCUCCACACCAAUCUCCAGUGAGCCCCCUCUCUUGUUUGUCCACGUGCGCGUCCCUAAGGUUCAAUAGCUGGAGCACGUGUGUGGCCCACGAUUCCCAUGCUCCAGCCUCGCGCGAAGAUCUGUGACCACACGCUGAUUUCCACUAGCGCCUCGUCAGCUGCCCUCGAAGGUGGUGUCGGUGACGUCUCGCCAUCUGUGCCACGUGUGCGCCGUGUGCGUCUCAUGCGACCCUAAGGUGCAAGGUUCCACGCCCACACAUCGAGCUCUGGCAAGCUCUCACGACUAGCCGUUCAUGCCGGCGGUGGCCAUACCCGAGCCGGCGUCGUGUCCCUGUCAUGGUUUUUUUGCCACACCCAAUUAGUUUAGGAGGUAGUUUAGGUUUAAUUAGUGGUGUUAAUAUUAGUGGACCUCUCUUAGUGUUAGGUUAGUUGCUUAAAUUAGUCAACUCAAAAAAGUUGUUUAAAUUAGUUUUAGCAUUAGCAUAACCCAUCUUCAAUGACAUCUGGGCCCUAACCCUCGUGUUGACUAGUUGUUGUUGACUAGGGAUAUCCAAACAGGGGCAAACAUGUCCAAAGCGGCACUACGCUGUGGUCAAACGACAUUGACCGAACAGAGCCGUGAGAGAAGGGCAUUCGGAUGACCUCGGAGGAAAAAUUAAGGGCAAAACUAAGCGCGCUGGAAAAGUAAGGACAAAACCCGUGGGUAGGAACCAAUUAGGGAUAAAAUUGCAAUUGUCCCUUUAGAAUAAUAUGUGGUACAAAAGAUUAUUAUAUGUAGCUUGUUAAUGGACGGUUAUACUCGGGGAGAGCACUUUUUAUGAAGGUUGUAGAGGCACGAUUAUUCUUACAAUAAGGGCACGGUUAUUCAUGAAUUAGGGGCUCUAUCGUGCUUUUGUUUUUUAAUUAUACACAUUUGUACGUACAUUGUGAGAUUCACGGUUGUUUAUGUAUCGAAUGCAAUGACGUGGUUUUAUGAUGAAAUGUGCGAAUGCAUGGAGAAGAAGCACGUAUUUAUUUGAAUGAGAUACAUGGUUUUUAAAUGAGAUAUCUUUAUUGAUAGAGAGACACGGUCUAGUUUUACAUCACAGACCCGUGCUUCGUGACUCAAUUUCAGUCGUGCCUCUCACACGCGCACCCCCCAUUCUUGGUGCGUACCGUGCUUUCUAUCUCCGGCCAGGACGUGUCUCUAUGACACGCAGCCCUUGCAUAUCCCGUAUACAAAUACGUGCAUAUCUCUAAUAUAAAACUGUGAUAUAGCUUUACAUCACGGACCAUGCUUCGUAACUCCCUCGUAGCCAUGUUUCUCGCACACACACUCCCCAUUCUUGGCGCAGACCGUGUUUUGUGUCUCCCAAAGAGUCGUGCCUCUCGCACACGCAGCGUCAUGCAUGUCCGGCAUAGAUAUACGUGCAUCUACCAAAUAUAAAACCAUGCUCUAGGUUUACAUCACGGGCUGUGGUUCAUGUCUCUCUUCUAGCCAUGCCUCUUGCACACAAAGCAGAGUACAUACCCAGAGUAGCAAUACGUGGAUCUUCGUGAUAUGAAUCCGUGCUUCCUAUGUACACAUACAGUGCAUUUUGCUAAGUAAAAUCGUGCUUCUCUUUUACAUCAUAGAUCAAAUGUAUUGCAUUGCUUAUAUAUAUGAGGGUGUUGUGUUAUUUUCCUCAACCACAUGUACCAACGUCAUACUCCCAUCAUAGCACGUACCACUACCCACCGACUAUCCGGAUCAACACUAUAAACAGUCUGGUCAAUUGAACACAUAUAGACAGUUUAUUUGCCGGUGAAAGUGGUGAACCACUAACUUUCCCACUUAUCUUGCUUCUGUUAACAUACCCGUGAGUUCAUUGAGACUGAUCCAUAAAAAUAACAACAUUGACUACGACAAUCCAUUGUGCUAUUUAUAGACCACUUGCAUCCAGUAGGGUAUCGUCAUAUAGAUAUCGUUAGGCAAUACAAUUGGCUAUUUAUAGAUCAGUUGCAUUCAGUAGAAGUUCAACUAGAUCUGAGCAUUACUAGCCACAUUUCAAGAGAACUAUUAAUCAGUGCUUCGAGGUAACAUAUAUGCACUACUAUUUCAUAUCGAGUAGGAUAUAUCACUAGUUGUUCUAAAUAAUUGAUGUGUAAUCUUGUGAGAUAUAAAUGGCCAAAAAUGCAACACUUGUGGUAUUGGUUUGUCAACAUGUUGUCUAGAUCAUGUACAAAUUCAAUAGUUUUGGGGGUUUGUUCCAGAAGAGCAUCGUGUUGGCAUGGUAAGUUAAGCAUUUCAUAAUAUAAAUUUGUCACAUACUAUAUGGUCAUUUCUUAUAAUGUCGUGUUGGUAUUAGUUGUAGUGCAUGAUUGGUUUAUCUUGUUCAGUUAUUCGAAAGGGUUAAUUAUGGUAUCCAACUACUAUGUGAGGAAUGUACCUUGCACGGGAGUUCAGCAACUCAAACACUACAUAAAAUGUUAUUUCACUGCCACAACUUCUCAUAGAUCUAGUUAGAGAAUGUAUGCACGCGAUCAUGGAAAUACAAUUGAAAUUGGUGGUGGUGGAUGGGAUUUCUUAUGCUAUGACUAUGAUCUAAAGGCAGGGGACCAGAUAUAUUUUCAUUAUGAGUGUGUACAUUUUGUGAUGUACAUGUCUCCUUUACACCCUAUUGGCGAACCAAAGGAUAUCAUACGUAAGAAUUUGAUACCAUAUUACAUUUUGUUUACUUAAUUUCCUUAUUAUUCACGUGUUAUUGUGCCUGUUUAUUUUGUGGAAGCGGAUGUAUAUGACGAAGAGGGACAAAUUGUGACGUACAACAAUGAAUGUAAUCUUACGCCAAUGCAACGUUUAAACGUGACAAACAUAACUGAUGUGUACCCCCAAUAUCCAGCACAAAUACAUUGCUUCACUAGGGAAAACAUGCACGAAAACAUCAUGGUAAGUUGUUUAUAAACUUUAGUGCAUACUCUCUACAUACCUAACAUUAUUUGUUUACACAACUCAUACAUGGACCAUUAGUUGCGAGACUUGGUCUCCAAGAGUUUGGCUAGGUACUGUUGGAAAUGCAUCGUGACAUACACCUAUGAGUAGAAGUUCCUUAUCGUAUCAAGCAUGAAUGACUUCUAGAAAUUAAAGGAGGGUGAUGGAAAGACUUUGUAGAUAUUCAUGAUAUAGUAGUUUAUCAACGGGUCGUGAUAUUGGCAAUUCCUUCAUCAAAUCAUUACUAUCUAAGACUUAGGUUCAAAACUAUUGGAGCACUCAUAGUUCAGGAUUAUAGUCGAGACAAAGAUGGUGAUGAUUCAGAUGAAUAAGAGAAUAAAGGUUACCAUGAAGAGGAUGACGGAUGUUCUGUGAACUUGAUGAUUUGUUUGCACCUAGAUUGACAUAUGUUGUAAGUCCCUACGUGUAUGAACAACAUUGUUUAGUUAGUAGUUUUCUUAUUCUUCUGUAAUCCAAGCAUUCAUUUAAUAAGAUUAAUCAAAUAUGUAAGGUUGUUAUAUCGUGUCUCCCAAUGAUCCGUGCCUCUUGCAACGCACCCACGUGCAUGUCCUAUGAAGAAAUUAGUGACUCUUCCUAAUUCAGAAUUGUGCUCUAUUUUUACAUCACAGAGCAUGCUUCGUGUCUCCUUGCCAACCAUGCCUCUCGCACACGCAUCCCCGUGCAUGUCCUGCAAACAAACUCUUGCCUCUUCCUAAUACAUAACUGUGCUAUUGUUUGACAUGACAGACAGUGCUUCGUGUCUCCCACCAAGUCAUGCCUCUCGCACACGCACCCCCAUGCAUGUCCUUCUACACAUACUUGCAUCUUCGUGCUAUAUUUUUGCAUCACAGGCCUUUGUUUUGUGUCUCCCUGCUAGCUGUGUGUAUGAAUCACAAAGCAUAGUGUAUAUCUAGAGUACAUAUAGGUGCGUCUUCCUAACAUGAAUCUAUGCUUCUGUUUUUUGCAUCACGGAUGCUCGUGUCGUUGUUAUGGGCGACUGGAUAAACACUACUUAGUGAAGUGACUUUACUUGAUAUAAUAUGGUGUGAAGUGAGUUUUCAAAAUGUGUGCCCACUUGACUGAAUUUUGACUGACAAUUUAAAGAAAAUUUACAAUGAAAAAAAUGUUGGUUCAUAUGAUCUACAUUAUGAGACUUUAAAUAGUCAAUUGGUUCAUAUGAGCUACAUAAGUACCAUUUCAACUAGCAAACUACGAGCAUUUAGACACGGGAUCUGUUGGGGAGACUGUUGGAAAUAUGCCCUAGAGGCAAUAAUAAAUUAGUUAUUAUUAUAUUUCUUUGUUCAUGAUAAUCGUUUAUUAUCCAUGCUAUAAUUGUAUUGAUUGGAAACACAGUGCAUGUGUGGAUACAUAGACAAAACACUGUCCCUAGUAAGCCUCUAGUUGACUAGCUCGUUGAUCAAAGAGGGUCAAGGUUGCCUGACCAUAGGCAAGUGUUGUCACUUGAUAACGGGAUCACAUCAUUAGGAGAAUCAUGUGAUGGGCUAGACCCAAACUAAUAGACGUAGCAUGUUGAUCGUGUCAUUUUGUUGCUACUGUUUUCUGCGUGUCAAGUAUUUGUUCCUAUGACCAUGAGAUCAUAUAACUCACUGACGCCGGAGGAAUGCUUUGUGUGUAUCAAACAUCGCAACGUAACUGGGUGACUAUAAAGAUGCUCUACAGGUAUCUCCGAAGUUGUUCGUUGAGUUAGUAUGGAUCGAGACUGGGAUUUGUCACUCCGUGUGACGGAGAGGUAUCUUGGGGCCCACUCGGUAAUAUAACAUCACACACAAGCCUUGCAAGCAUUGUGACUUAGUGUAAGUUGCGGGAUCUUGUAUUACGGAACGAGUAAAGAGACUUGCCGGUAAACGAGAUUGAAAUAGGUAUGCGGAUACUGACGAUCGAAUCUCGGGCAAGUAACAUACGGAAGGACAAAGGGAAUGACAUACGGGAUUAUAUGAAUCCUUGGCACUGAGGUUCAAAUGAUAAGAUCUUCGUAGAAUAUGUAGGAUCCAAUAUGGGCAUCCAAGUCCCGCUAUUGGAUAUUGACCGAGGAGUUACUCGGGUCAUGUCUACAUAGUUCUCGAACCCGCAGGGUCUGCACACUUAAGGUUCGACGUUGUUUUAUGCGUAUUUGAGUUAUAUGGUUGGUUACCGAAUGUUGUUCGGAGUCCCGGAUGAGAUCACGGGCGUCACGAGGGUUUACGGAAUGGUCCGGAAACGAAGAUUGAUAUAUAGGAUGACCUGAUUUGAUUACUGGAAGGUUUUCGGAGUUACCGGGAAUGACGAAUGGGUUCCGGGUGUUCACCGGGGGGGGGGGGGGGGGGGGGGUGUUCGGGGGGGGGGGGGGGGGGGCAGCCCACCCCGGGGAAGCCCAUAGGCCUUGGGGGUGGCGCACCAACCCUUGGUGGGCUGGUGGGACAGCCCAAGAAGGCCCUAUGCGCCAUAGAUAGAAAAUCAAAGAGAAAAGAAAAAAAAGGAGGUGGGAAAGCAGAGAAGGACUCCACCUUCCAAUCCUAGUUGGACUAGGAUUGGAGGAGGACUCCUCCUCCCUUGGUGGCGCAGCCCUUGGGGCUCCUUGAACCUCAAGGCAAGCCUCCCCUCCCCUCCUCCUAUAUAUAUGGAGCUAUUAGGGCUGAUUUGAGACAACUUUUGCCACGGCAGCCCGACCACAUACCUCCACGGUUUUACCUCUAGAUCGCGUUUCUGCGGAGCUCGGGCGGAGCCCUGCUGAGAUUAGAUCACCACCAACCUCCGGAGCGCCGUCACGCUGCCGGAGAACUCAUCUACCUCUCCGUCUCUCUUGCUGGAUCAAGAAGGCCAAGAUCAUCGUCGAGCUGUACGGGUGCUGAACGCGGAGGUGCCGUCCGUUCGGCACUAGAUCGUGGGACGGAUCGCGGGACGGUUCGUGGGACGGUUCGCGGGGCGGAUCGAGGGACGUGAGGACGUUCCACUACAUCAACCGCGUUCACUAACGCUUCUGCUGUGCGAUCUAGAAGGGUACGUAGAUCGAAAAUCCCCUCUCGUAGAUGGACAUCACCAUGAUAGGUCUUCGUGCACGUAAGAAAUUUUUUGUUUCCCAAGCGACAUUCCCCAACAAACGUUGCAUGGGAAACAAAAAUUUCCUACGCACACGCAAUACCUAUCCAUGGUGAUGAUCAUCUACGAGAGGGAAGUUAGGAUCGACAUACCCUUGUAGAUCACUAGGCGGAAGCAUAUAUAACGCGGUUGAAGUAGUGGAACAUCUUCGCGAUCCAAAUUGCAGUCCAUCCCGCGAUCUCAUCACAAACCGUCCCGCGAUCCCAUCACGAUCCAUACUGAUCUAGUGCCGAACGGACGACACCUCCAUGUUCAGAACACGUGCAACACGAUGACGAUCUCCGCCUUCUUGAUCCAGCAAGAGAGACGAAGAGGUAGCUGAAUUCUCCGGCAACACAAUGGCGUGGUGAUGAUGGUGGUGGAGCUACCCCGGCAGGGCUUCGCCGUACCGUACCGAACUAGCUACGGGGUGUCACGAAGUGGUGGAGGGAGAGAGGGAUGCGCCCUGGCUUGAGGUGCGAAAAGCAUCUCUACCCUCUAGUAUAUAUAGGAGGGAGGGGGGGGGGGNNNNNNNNNNGGGGGGGGGGGAGGAUGCAAUCUCAAAACCCUCAUGGGUUUGGCCGAAGUGUAUAUGAGUUGGAGGAGUCCACCUCCAAUCCUACUCCUAGUAGGAUUCCACCUUUUCUAUUCCUUCCCUUUCCCCCUUUUUCCCUUUUCCCCUUAUUUGUUCCUUCGCCGAAAUAGGCCCUAUUGGGCUGGCCACACCAGCCCACUUAGGGCUGGUGCACCACCUUUAGGCCUGUUAGGUUCUCUCCCGGGUGGGUGGUCCCUCCCGGUAAAAUCCCGGAACCCAUUCGUCACUCCCGCUACUUUACCGGUAAUGCCCGAAAACUUUCCAGAAGCCAAAUGCAACUUUCCCAUAUAUAAAUCUUUACAUCUGGAACAUUCCGGAGCUCCUCGCGAUGUCCGAGAUCUCAUCUGGGACUCCAAACAACUUUCGGUCACCAACAUACAUAACUCAAUAAUACCGAAACAUCACUAAACCUUAAGUGUGCAGACCCUGCGGGUUCAAGAACUAUGUAGACAUGACCAGAGACACUCUUUGAUCAAUAACCAAUAGUGAGACCUGGAUGCCCAUAUUGGCUCCUACAUAUUCUACAAAUAUCUUCAUCGGUUGAACCUCUAUGUCAAGGAUUCAGUUAAUCUCGUAUGAUGUUCCCUUUGUCCAUCGGUAUGUUACUUGCCCAGGAUUGGAUCGUUGGUAUCUCUAUACCUAGCUCAAUCCCAUUACCGGCAAGUCUCUUUACUCAUUCCGUAAUACCAGAUCCCGUGACUAACUCGUUGGUCACAUUGCUUGCAAGGCUUGUUGUGAUGGUGUAUUAUCGAGUGGGCCCUGAGAUACCUCUCCGUCACACGGAGUGACAAAUCCCAGUUUUGGUUCAUGCCAACCCAAUAGACAUCUUUGGAGAUACCUGUAGAGCACCUUUAUAGUCACCCAGUAACGUUGCGACAUUUGAUACACACAAGGUAUUCCUCCGGUGUCCGGGAGUUGCAUGAUCUCAUGGUCAUAGGAACAGAUACAUUGACAUGCAGGAAAUAGUAGCAAUAAACUGACACGAUCAUAUGCUAUGUUUAUAGUUUGGGUCUUGUCCAUCACAUCAUUCUCCUAAUGAUGUGACCCCGUUAUCAAACAACAUCUCAUGUCUAUGGCGAGGAAACCUUGACCAUCUUUGAUCAACGAGCUAGUCAACUAGAGGCUCACUAGGGACAGUGUGUUGUAUAUGUAUCCACACAUGUAUUUGAGUUCCCAAUCAAUAUAAUUCUAGCAUGGAUAAUAAAUGAUUAUCAUGAACAAGAAAAUAUAAUAAUAACUAAUUUAUUAUCGCCUCUAGGGCAUAUUUCCAAGAGUCUCCCACUUGCACUAGAGUCAAUAAUCUAGUUCACAUCACUAUGUGAUUGUAAUGAAUCUAACACCCAUGGGGUUUGAUCAUAUCUUGCUCGUGAGAGAGGUUUUUAGUCAACGGGUCUCAAUCUUUUAGAUCCGUGUGUGCUUUACCAAUCUCUAUGUCAUCCUAUAGAUGCUGCUACCACAUGCCAUUUGGAACUAUUCCAAAUGACCGCUCCACUAUACGAAUCCGGUUUGCUGCUCAGAGUUAUCCGGAUUAGUGUUAAAGAUUGCAUCAAAGUAACCCUUUACGACGAACUCUUUUAUCACCUCCAUAAUCGAGAAAAAUUGCUUAAUCCACUAGUUACUAAGGAUAACUUUUGACCGAUAUCCAGUAAUCCAUUCCCGAAUCACUUUUGUACCACUCGACAGAUUCAUGGCAAGGCACACAUCAGGUGCGUUACACAACAUAUCAUACUAUAGAGCCUACAGCUAAGGCUUAGGGGACAACCUUCAUCCUUACUCUUUUCUGCUGUGGUCGGACUUUGAGUCUUACUCAAAUUCACACCUUACAACACAGCCAAGAACCCCUUCUUUGCCGAUCUAUUUUGAACUCCUUCAAAAACCUUGUCAAGGCAUGCAUUUCAUUGAAGUUUUAUGAAGCGUCUUGAUCUAUCUUUAUAGAUCUUGAUGCUCAAUGUUCAAGUAGCUUAAUCUAGGCUUUCCUUUGAAAAACUCCUUUCAAACAACCCUAUAUGCUUUCCAGAAAUUCUACAUCAUUUUUGAUCAACAAAAAAUGUCAACCACAUAUACUCAUCAGAAAUUCUAUAGUGCUCCCACUCACUUUCUUGGAAAUACAAGUUUCUCAUAAACUAUGUAUAAACCCAAAAACUUUGAUCAUCUCAUCAAAGCGUAUAUUCCAACUCUGAGAUGCUUGCUCUAGUCCAUAGAAGGAUCGCUGGAGCUUGCAUACUUAUUAGCAUCCUUAGGAUCGACAAAACCUUGUGGUUGUAUCACAUACAACCUUUCCUCAAGGAAACCGUCGAGGAAACAAUGUUUUGACAUCCUAUCUGCAAGAUUUCAUAAAUAAUGCAACAAUUGCUAACAUAAUUCCAACAUACUUCUAGCAUCGCUACGAGUGAGAAAGUCUCAUCACAGUCAAUUCCUUGAACUUGUCGGAAACAUCUUUGCGACAAGUCGAGCUUUCUUAAUAGUGACAUUUACCAUCAUCAUCUGUCUUCCUUUUAAAGAUCCAUCUGUACCUAAUAGCCUUACAACCAUCAAGUAGUUCUUCCAAAGUCUAUACUUUGUUUUCAUACAUGGAUCCUACCUCGGAUUUCAUGGCGUCCAGCCAUUCGUCGAAAUCCAGGCCCACCAUCGCUUCUCCAUAGCUCGUAGGUUCAUUGUUGUCUAGCAACAUGACCUCCGAGACAUGAUUACCGUACCACUCUGGAGAAGUACGUUUCCUUGUCAACCCACGAUGUUUGGAUGUAACUUGAUCUGAAGCUUCAUGAUCACCAUCAUUAGCUUUCCACUUCAACUAGUGUAGGCGCCACAGGAACAUCUUCGUGCGCCUUGCUACUCAUUGGUUGAAGUGACCAUUCAAUAACCUCAUCAAGUUUCCACCAUCCUCCCACUCCACUCUUUCGAGAGAAACUCUUUCUCGAGAAAGGGCCCGUUUCUAGAAACAAACACUUUGCUCUCAGGUCUGAGAUAGGAGGUAUACCCAACUGUUUUGGGUGUCCUAUGAAGAUGCAUUUAUUCGCUUUGGGUUCGAGCUUAUCAGGCUGAAACUUCCUCACAUAAGCAUUGCAGCCCCAAACUUUUAAGAAACGACAACUUAGGUUUCUCCAAACAAUAGUUCACACAGUGUCAUCUCAACGGUAUUACGUGGUGCCCUAUUAAAAGCGAAUGUGGUUGUCUUUAAUGCAUAAUCCAAAAACGAUAGUGGUAAUUCGAUAAGGGACAUCAUAGUAUGCACCAUAUCCAAUAGGGCACGGCUAUGACAUUCGGACACACUAUCACGCUAUGGUGUUCCAGGUGGCAUGAGUUGUGAAACAAUUUCCGCAUUGUCUUAAAUGUGUACCAAACUCGCAACUCAGAAAUUCAUCUCUACGAUCAUAUCGUAGACAUUUCAUCCUCUUGUCACGACGAUCUUCAACUUCACUCUGAAAUUACUUGAACCUUUUAAUAAUUCAGACUUGUGUUCCAUCAAGUAAAUAUACUAGUAUCUACUCAAAUCAUUUGUGAAGUAAGAACAUAACAAUAUCCACUGCGUGCCUCAACACUCAUUGGACCGCAUACAUUAAAAAUGUAUUACUUCCAAUAAGUUACUUUAUUUUUCUAUCUCACUGGAAAACGAGGCCUUCAGUCAUCUUGCUCAUGUGGCAUGAUUUGCAUGUCUCAAGUGAUUCAAAAUCAAGUGAGUCCAAACGAUCCAUCUACAUGGAGUUUCUUCUUGCGUUUGCACCAAUAGGCAUGGUUUGCAUGUCUCAAACGAUUCAAAAACGAGUGAGUCCAAAGAUCCAUCAGUGUGUUUUACACAAAUAUGACUCAAGUGGCAGUGCCACAAGUAAGUGGUACUAUCAUUACUACUUUGUAUCUUUUGACAUCAAAUGUUAUGAAUAUGUGUAAUACUACGAUCAAUAUUCAAUAACCCAUUCAUAUUAGGUGCAUGACCAUUGAAGGCUUUAUUCAAGUAAACAAAAUGACCAUUAUUCUCUUUUAAUGAAUAACCGUAUUGCAAUAAACAUAAUCUAAUCAUGUUCAUGCUCAACGCAAGCACCAAACAACAUUUAGGUUGAACACUAAUCUUGAAAGUAGAGGGAGCAUGCGAUGGUGAUCACAUCAUCCUUGGAAACACUUCCAACACACAUCGUCACCUUGCCUUUAGCUAGUCUCUGUUUUUUCGCAGCUUUGAUUUUGAGUUACUAACACUUAGAAACCAAACCGGUAUCUAAUACCCCGGUGCUACUAGGAGUACUAGUAACGUACACAUCAGUAUCAUGUAUAUCCAAUAUACUUUUGUUGACUUUGCCAGCCUUCUCAUCUACCAAGUAACUAGGGUAGUUCCGCUUCAGCGACCGUUCCACUCAUAAUAGAAGCACUUAGUCUCGGGUUUGGGUUCAAUCUUGGGUUUCUUAACUAGAGUGGCAACUCGUUUGGCAUUUCAUGAAGUAGCCCUUUUAACCCUUGCCCUUCUCAAAACUAGUGGUUUUACUAACCAUCGACACUUGAUGCUCCUACCCGAUUUCUUCCUUCGCGGUGUCAAACAUCGCGAAUAGCUCAAGGAUCAUCAUCUCUAUCCCUGAUAUGUUAUAGUUCAUCACAAAGCUCAGUAGCUUGGUGGCAGUGACUUUGGAGAACUAUGUCAAUCACUAUCUUAUCUGGAAGAUCAACUCCCACUCGAUUCAAGCGAUUGUUGCACCCAGACAAUCUGAGCACAUGCUCAACGAUUGAGCUUUUCUCCCUUACUUCGCAUGCCAAGAAUCUUGUCGGAGGUCUCAUACCUCUUAACAUGGUCACGAGCCUGAAAUCCAAAUUUCAGCUCUUCGAACAUCUCAUAUGUUCCGUGACGUUCAAAACGUCUUUGGCGCCUCAAUUCUAAGCCGUUAAGCAUUACGCACUGAACUAUCACAUAGUCAUCAAAAACGUGUAUGUCAGAUGUUCACAAUAUCCACAUAUGAUGCUCGGGGUUCAGCACACCGAGCGAUGCAUUAAGGACAUAAGCCUUCUGCGCAGCAAUAAGGACAAUCCUCAGUUUACGGACCCAGUCCGCAUAGUUGCUACUAUCAUCUUUCAACUAAGUUUUCUCUAGGAACAUACGAAUAGUAGAGCUACAACACAAGCUACAACAUAAAUUGCAAAGAUAUUUUUGACUAUGUUCAUGAUAAUAAGUUCAAUUAAUCAUACUACUUCAGAACUCCCACUCAAAUUGACACCCCUCAAGUCAUUCGAGUGAUACAUGAUCCAAAUUUACUAACUCAACUCCGAUCAUCAAGUGAGUUGAGUUUAGCUUCAAUGGUGAACAUCUCCAUGUUGAUCAUAUCCACUAUAUGAUUCAUGCUCGACCUUUCGGUCUCUUGUGUUCUGAGGCCAUGUCUGUACAUGCUAGGCUCGUCAAGUUUAACCCAAGUGUUCCGCGUGUGCAACUGUUUUGCACCCGUUGUAUGUGAAUGUUGAGUCUAUCACACCCGAUCAUCACGUGGUGUAUCGAAACGACGAACUAUUGCAACGGUGCACAGUCGAGGAGAACACAAUUUUAUCUUGAAAUUUUAGUGAGGGAUCACCUUAUAAUGCUACCGUCGUCCUAAGCAAAAUAAGGUGCAUAAAAGGAUUAACAUCACAUGCAAAUCAUAAGUGACAUGAUAUGUCCAUGAACUUGUGCUUCUUGAUCUCCAUCACUGUGACAGCCCGAGACCGACGUUCCACAAGAUUCCCCUUCUAUUUCGUUUUCGUCUUGUGUCUAUUUUCUUUUGUCGCAUCAUCAUCGCAUCAUGCGCAUCAUCAGCAUUGCAUCGGCAUCUCCGUUGCCGCCAAUUUUCAAAAGUUGCAUCCGUUGUUAGUUGCCAGUUCUCGUCGUUGUUCGUUCUGAGCCCAUUCAUACACACACGCGCCUGCGACAUCGUAGAAACCUUGUUUUAGAAGUGUGUGUAAAAUUUCUCUCAUCGGGGUGAAACUUUGCAUGCGGUCGUAAUUAGUUAUAGCUAGGCCGCCUGUCGAAUUUCGUCACGAUCGGAGUCCGUCUGGUACCCGAACGGUCGACCAUAGCGGCACCGUAUUCGGUCUACCGUCGGAAGGUUGUCGGUGUUUUAAAAAUUGUUGCCGCGCCGCCCGUUCUCCUUCUCGUCUCCGGAUAUCCACUCUACACGACUUUGUAACCGUUCCCGUGUUCGGAAUUAUCCGAAUCCGACCGCAUGGUUGGAUCCAGAACGGAAUUCCGGUUAACCUAGCCCCCCAUUUGUCUAUAUAUAGGCCUCCUCCUAUUAUUUAGACAGCCUACCACCCUCUGCCUCGUUUUCCGUGCCCCACCUACCCCAGCAGACUCUCUCUCCCCUGUCUCCCACCUCCAGCCGCCGGGCCCGCCCGAGCCCAUCGGGGCCCGAGGCAAACCCUAGUCGAGCCCCCAUGGCUCUCCCUGCCCGAGCUUCCCUGCCCGCGCCGCCGCACCUCCCUCACCGCCGCACCUCGCCGGCGCCGCCCCGCUUGCGGGAGGUUCGCCGGAGAUCCCUCGCCGGCCGCCACCCCGCUCCUCCUCGGUGUACGCCGUAGCCGGAUCCCGCAGCUCCGGCCUCCCCGUGCCUCUGCUUGCCUCACGCGCCGCCCGCCUGCUCGCCUUCGGCAUCCGCGCCGCCAUUUUUCUCUUGCUGGUUGUAUGUUUUGAAGUGCUCGUGACCGUCGUUGCACACAUAUUGCAUCCAUGCCAUCAUAUCUUGCGGUGCUUGUAUCUUUUGAACCGUAGCUCCGUUGGAGUUGUUCUCUAUGUGUAAAUUGCUUGAAAUGACGCGUAGAAUCACGUGAACCUAUUUGUUUUGCUGUUUAACAACUAAUUAAAUGUGUUAGUUCAGAUCUGGACAGAACUGUAAAUUAACAUAUGAGGUCGUUUCGGAGGUGCUAUAUGUCAUUUCCGACCUCAUUUAAAAUGCCUAGAUAGGUAGAUUAAUUGUGCUUCACCUCUUGCCAUGUUUAAUCACAUUUAAUAAUGCCGUGUAUCUAAUCGGGAUAGAACUAAAUAAUUAAACGUGGAGUUUCGUCAAUAUGCAACUCGUUGCAUAUUGAACUUCACUUAAUGUGUAGUGUUUGAUUGUGUGAAUUGUCAUGCCGUGACUUGCAUGUAUUCAGCUGCUCAUGCAUCAUAUGUGUUGUGCAUCAUGUGGUGAAUAUCGUGUGUGUGAUUCUUGUUUUCGGUUUCCUCCGUCUCGAUAGAAUUCCGCAAGCGUGUCGGAUGGUGAGGACCCGUUCGACUACAUUGGUUCGUCUGCUUCACGGAGUCAUUCUUCUUCCAAGCGGGAUCUCAGGCAAGAUGACCAUUUCCCCAGAUACCGUUACUAUCAUUGCCAUGCUAGUAUUACCGUUUCUAUCGAUUAUGUCUCCUUGCCUACCACGUGUUAUAUAUAAGCCUCUCAACAAUGCCAUGAAUACCUUCAACCUGUUCAACCUAGCAAACCACUGAUUGGCUAUGUUACCGCUUGCUUAACCCUGUUUUAGCGUUGCUAGUUGCAGGUGCAGUUGCUUCCAUGUGAAAACAUGGGUUCCUUGUUCUAUCACCCUAUUAAAUGCUAUUUAAUUUAAUGCACCUAUAUACUUGGUAAAAGGUGGAAGGCUCGGCCUUUCUAGCCUGGUGUUUUGUUCCACCUUUGCCCCCUUAGUUUCGGCUACCGGUGUUAUGUUCCAUAAAUGAGCGCUCCUAACACGAUCGGGGUUGUUAUGGGGACGCCCUUGAUAAUUCCUUUUAGAUUAAAGCUGGUCUGGCAAGGCCCAACAUUGGUACUACAUUUGCCCAACAUAAUAAUUCUGUUAAUUUGAAAUGCAUAGGGCGUUAGCGCUACCCAAGGAGUAAUUCUACAUAAUACAGGUAGGGCCAGUGCUGAUGGUGCUGGUCCAAAACAGAGCAUUCUGCGGGGCCAACGUGAGGAAACUCGAGGUUUGGCACUCGUACGCGUAGCUUAUCCGUCGUGUCCUGAGAACGAGAUAUGCGGCUCCUAUCGGGAUCGUCGACACGCCGGGCGGCCUUGCUGGAUUAGUUUUUACCUUUGACGAGAUAUCUUGUGCAUCGGGAUUCCGAUGAGGUUUUCCACUAGGGAAUCCAAUGAUAUCGCAAGCUUCGUGAUUGAGGAUUUCUAUGUGGCUUGUGGUAAUUUGUGAUGGACCAGUUGGAGCACCCCUGCAGGGUUAAAUCUUUCGGAAAGCCGUGCCCGCGGUUAUGUGGCAACGUGGAAACUUUGUUUAACACUGGUUCUAGAUAACUUGAAGUUAACUUAUUAAAAUAUGCCAACUGUGUGCGUAACCGUGACUGUCUCUUUCGUGAGUUCCUUCUCCGAUCGAGGACACGGUGGGGUUAUGUCUGACGUAGGUAGGUGUUCAGGAUCAUUCAUUUGAUCAUCAGUAGUUCACGUCCGCUAUGCGUAGAUCUUCCCCCUCUUAUUUCUUGUACUCGUAAGUGUAGCCACCAAAUAAAUGCUUAGCCGCUGCUGCAACCUCACCACUUAACCAUGCCUCACCCAUUAAGCUUUGCUAGUCUUGAUAACUUUGGAAAUGAGAUUGCUGAGUCCCCUGUGGCUCACAGAUUACUACAACACCAGUUGCACGUACAAGUAAAGGGUACUUGACGUGAGCGCGUUGAUUGUUCAUUUGGAGUUGCUUCUUCUUCUUCUUCUUCUUCAUCGAUCUAGGAUGGGUUCCAGGCCGGCAGCCUGGGAUAGCAAGGAUGGACGUCGUUCUUAUUUUGUCGUUUGUUUUCAUCCGUAGUCGGACCCUGCUCUUACUCUUGAUGAAUUCGUACCGUACUUCUGUGACUCUGAUGUAGCUUGUGGCGAGUAUAAGCCAAUUCUAGACAUAUAUCUCAUCUUUACAGUACAUGUACUUGUAACGAUAUCCAUUCUUGCGACACGAUGAGAUGCUCUUCUAACCCUGACGAGACCUUCGUGCCAAAUUGAGGAUAGGGUCGCAUCUUGGGCGUGACAAUCACCAACUCACCGACAUGAUCUCCAUCGUCACCGGUGCCACACCAUGAUCUCCAUCAUUGUGCUGCCAUCGAGGUUGUCGCGCUAACUAUGCUGUUACUACUAAGACUACUACUAGCGAUAAAGCAAAGCUUCACCAAGGGCAAAAUAAUUAAAGACAACCCUGUGGCUCCUGCCGGUUGCCGUAGCAUCGACGUCCAAGUCGAUAUUUAACUAUUACAACAUGAUCAUCUCAUUCAUCCAAUAUAUCAUAUCAUGUCUUUGGCCAUAUUGAUACGUCCAUUUUGCAUCAUGCGUUUAUAUCAAUGUUUAUUGCAUCAUGGAUGUUAAUACAUAUUAUGGUACAAUACUUAUGCCUUUUCUCUCUUAUUUUACAAGAUUUACACGAAGAUGGAGAUUGCCGGCAGCUGGAAUUCUGGACUAGAAAAGGAGCAAAUCUAAGAGAUCUAUUCUGCACAGCUCCAACAGUCCUGAAUAGUUACGGAGAAUUGUUUUGGAAUAUAUAAAAAAUAAAUGGGCGAAAGAAGUACCAGAGGGACCCACCAGGAGGUCACAAGCCAAGGGGCGCGACCUACCCCCCUUGCCGCUCCGUGCAGGCUUGCCCCCCCUGCAAGCCUCCUGUGCCCAUCUUCUGCUGCAUUAAGGGUUUUGACCUGGAAAAAUCAUAUCAUAGCUUCCGGGAUGCAGCACCACCGUCUCGAGGCGGAACUUCGACAUAACCAAUCUAGAGCUCCGACGGAGCUAUUCCGUCGGGGAAACUUCCCUCCCGGAGGGGAAAUUGAAGCCAUCAUCAUCGCCAACGAUCCUCUCAUCAAGAGCGGAUCAAUCUCCAUCAACAUCUUCAUCAGCACCAUCUCCUCUCCAAACCCUAAUUCAUCUCUUGUAUCCGAUCUUUGUCUCAAAACCUCAGAUUGGUACAUGUGGGUUGCUACUAGUGUUGAUUAAGCUUUGUAGUUGAUGCUAGUUGGUUUAUUUUGUAGAAGAUCAUAUGUUCAUAUCCUUAAUGAUUAUUAAUACUCCUCUGAUUAUGAACAUGAAUAUGCUUUGUGAGUAGUUAUGUUUGUUCCUCAGGACAUGGGAUAAGUCUUGUUAUAAGUAAUCAUGUGAAUUUGGUAUUCGUUCGAUAUUUUGAUAAGAUAUAUGUUCUCUCUUCUCUAGUGGUGUCAUGUGAACGUCGACUACAUGACACUUCAACAUUAUUUGGGCCUAGAGGAAGGCAUUGGGAAGUAAUAAGUAGAUGAUGGGUUGCUAGAGUGACAGAAGCUUAAAACCUGGUUUAUGUGUUGCUUCGUAAGGGGCUGAUUUGGAUCCAUAGGUUUAAUGCUAUGGUUAGAUUUAUCUUAAUUAUUCUUUCAUAGUUGUCGAUGCUUGCGAGAGAGGUUAAUCAAAAGUGGGAUGUUUUUCCAAGUAAGGGCAGCACCCAAGCACCGGUCCACCCACAUAUCAAAUUAUCAAAUUAACAGACGCGAACCAUAUGAGCAUGAUGAAAACUAGCUUGACAUAAAUUCACAUGUGUCCUCGGGAGAGAUUUUCUUUAUAUAAGAGUUUUUCCAGGCUUGUCCUUUGCUACAAAAAGGAUUGGGCCACCUUGCUGCACCUUUUUUACAAUUUUUACUUGUUACCCGUUACAAAUUACCUUAUCACAAAGCUAUCUAUCACCGAUAAUUUCAGUGCUUGCACAGAAUACCUUACAAAACCGCUUGUUAUUCCCUCCCGCUCCUCGUUGGGUUCGACACUCUUACUUAUCGGAAGGACUAUGAUAGGUCCCCUAUACUUGUGGGUCAUCAAGACUCUUUUCUGGCGCCGUUGUCGGGGAGUGAAGUGCCUUUGGUAAGUGGAACUUGGUAAGGAAAAAUUUAUAUAUUGUGCUGAAAUUUACUGUCACUUGUCACUAUGGUAAAUAAUCCUUUGAGGGGCUUGUUUGGAGUAUAUUCACCUGACCGGAAGCACAAAGAGAUGCUCCUCAACCUGCUGCACCUACUGGAAAUAUUUAUUAUGAAAUUCCUUCGGGUAUGAUAGAAACACCGCUAGCUAAUCCUUAUGCAAGAGAUGGAACACUACAUCCUGAUUUGCACCUAAUCUUUGUGGAUGAAGUUUAUUUAAGCUUGCAGGUCUGCCCGAGGAUGAUGUCAAGAAGAAGGUAUUUACUUUAUAUUUGAAGGAAAAGGCGUUGACAUGGUAUAGGCUAUGUGUUGAUAUUGGAUCAUGGAACUACAACCGAUUGAAAUUGGAGUUUCAUCAGAAGUUUUACCCUAUGCAUAUGGUUCAUCGUGAUCGGAAUUAUAUUUAUAAUUUUUGGCCUCGUGAAGGAGAAAGAAUCGCUCAAGCUUGGGGAGGCUUAAGUCAUUGUUAUAUUAAUGCCCCAAUCAUGAUCUCCUGAGAUAAAUUAUUAUUCAGAAUUUUUAUGCUUGGCUCUCUCGUAAUGAUCAACCCAUGCUCGACAAUUCUUGUGAUGGUUCCUUUAUGAAGAAAGAUAUUGAAUUCAAAUGGUACUUAUUGGAAAGAAUUAAAAACAACUCUGAAGAUUAGAAACUUGACGAAGGUAAUGAGUGAGGUAUAAGACUUAAAUUUGAUUGUGUUAAAUCCUUUAUAGACACCGAUGCUUUUCGUGAUUUUAGCAUUAAAUAUGGACUUGACUCUGAGAUAGUAGCUUCAUUUUGUGAAUCUUUUGCUACUCAUGUUGAUCUCCCCAAGGGGAAGUGGUUUAAAUAUCAUCCUCCCGUUGAAGUUAAAGUGGUAGAACCUAUUAAAGUUGAAGAAGAAACUACUAUUUAUAAUGUUGAUCCUGUUAUUCCUACUGCUUAUAUUGAGAAACCACCCUUUUUUGUUAGGAUAAAGGAACAUGCUAAAGCUUCAACUGUGGUUCGUAAGAGUUGUGCUAGAACACCCAUACCUCGUGAACAAAAUAAAGUAGAACCUAAUAUUGCUAUGGUUAAAUAUCUCUUGGUUGAUAAUAUUGAUGGACAUGUCAUUCACUUCUGAAAUGAAGCCGCUAGAAUUGCUAGACCUGAUACUAAAGGUGAACAUAGACCUAUUGUUGGCAUGCCUGUUGUUUCUGUUAAAAUAGGAGAGCAUUGUUAUCAUGGCUUAUGUGAUAUGGGUGCUAGUGUGAGUGCAUUUCCCUUUACCUUAUACCAAUAAAUUAUGAAUGAUAUCGCACGAGCCGAAUUAGAGGAAAUUGAUGUUACCAUCAAGCUUGCUAAUAGAGAUAAUAUUUCACCAAUUGGAAUUGUUAGAGAUGUUGAAGUCUUGUGUGGGAAAAUAAAGUAUCCUACUCAUUUUCUUGUUCUUGGUUCCCCACAAGAUGAUUUUUGUCCCAUUAUAUUCGGUAGACCCUUCUUGAAUACUGUUAAUGUUAAGACUGAUUGUGAAAAAGAAACUGUUACUGUAAGUUUUGGGGAUGCAUCUCAUGAGUUCAAUUUCUCUAAAUUUCGUAGACAACCCCAUGACAAAGAAUUGCCAAGUAAAGAUGAAAUUAUUGGUCUCGCUUCUACGUUGUGCCUCCUACCGAUCCCUUAGAACAAUAUUUGCUAGACCAUGAAAAUGAUAUGUAUAUGAAUGAAAUGAAUGAAAUAGAUAAGAUUUUCUUUGAUCAACAGCCUAUUCUGAAACACAACCUGCAUGUUGAAAUACUCGGGGAUCCUCCUCCACCUAAGGGUGAUCCCGUGUUUGAGCUUAAAAAAAUUACCUCAUACUCUGAAUAUGCUUAUCUUGAUGAAAAAUAGAUAUAUCAUGUUAUUAUUAGUUCUAACCUUUGAGAGCAUGAAGAAAAUAGAUUAUUGAAAACCGUGAGGAAGCACCGUGCCGCUAUUGGAUAUAAUCUUGAUGAUCUUAAGGGCAUUAGUCCCACUCUAUGUCAACACAAAAUCAAUAUGAGGCCUGAUGCUAAACCAGUUGUUGGUCACCAACGACGAUUAAAUCCUAAAAUGAAGGAAGUGGUAAGAAAUGAAAUACUAAAGCUUCUGGAGGCAGGUAUAAUUUAUCCUAUUGCUCAUAGUAGAUGGGCUAGUCAUGUUCAUUGUGUCCCUAAAAAGGGAGGUAUUACCAUUGUUCCUAAUGAUAAAGAUGAAUUGACCCCGCAAAGAAUUGUUACAAUAUAUAGAAUGGUAACUGAUUUAAGGAAAUUGAAUAAGGCUACUAGGAAAGAUCAUUAUCUGCUAUCUUUUAUUGAUCAAAUGCUAGAAAGACUAUCCAAACAUACACAUUUUUGCUUUCUAGAUGGUUACUCUCGCUUCUCUCAAAUACAUGUAUCAAAAGAGGAUCAAGAGAAGACCACUUUUACUUGCCCUUUAGGUACCUUUGCUUAUAGACAUAUGCCUUUUGGUUUAUGCAAUGCAUCUUCUACCUUUCAAAGAUGUAUGAUGGCUAUAUUCUCCGACUUUUGCGAAAAGAUUGUUGAAGUUUUCAUGGAUGAUUUUUCCGUUUACGGAACUUCUUUUGAUGAUUGCUUGAGCAACCAUGAUCGAGUUUGGCAGAGAUGUGAAGAAACUAAUCUUGUCUUGAAUUGGGAGAAGUGCCACAUUAUGGUUAAUGAAGGCAUCGUCUUGGGACACAAAAUCUCCGAAAGAGGUAUUGAAGUUGACAAAGCUAAAGUUGAUGCUAUUGAAAAAAUGCCGUGUUCAAUAGAUGUUAAAGGUAUAAGAAGUUUCCUUGGUCAUGUCGGUUUCUAUAGGAGAUUUAUUAAAGACUUAUCUAAAAUUUCUAAGCCGCUCACUAAUAUUUUGCAAAAGUAUGCCCCAUUCAUUUUUUAAGAUGAUUGUGUAGAAGCAUUUGAAAUUCUUAAGAAAACCUUGAUCACUGCACCUAUUGUUCAACCACCUGAUUGGAACCUACCCUUUGAAAUUAUGUGUGAUGCUAGUGAUUAUGCUGUUGGUGUUGUUCUAGGACAAAUAGUUGAUAAGAAAUUAAAUGUCAUCCAUUGCGCUAGUAAAACUUUAGACAAUGCUCAAAGAAACUACGCUACCACUGAAAAGGAAUUUUUAGAAGUUGUGUUUGCUUGCGAUAAGUUUAGACCUUAUAUUGUUGAUUCCAAAGUAACUGUUCACAUUGAUCAGCUGCUAUUAAGUACCUUAUGGAAAAGAAAGAUGCUAAAGCUAGACUUAUUGGAUGGGUUCUUCUGCUACAAGAAUUUGAUCUGCAUAUUAUUGAUAAAAAGGGCGCUGGUAACCCCGUAGCAGAUGACUUGUCUAGAUUAGAGAAUGUUCUUGAUGACCCACUACCUAUUGAUGAUAACUUCCCUGAUGAACAAUCAGUUGUCAUAAAUGCUUCACGCAAUGCUCCUUGGUAUGCUGAUUAUGCUAACUACAUUGUUGCUAAAUUUAUACCGCCUAGCUUCACAUACCAACAAAAGAAAAAGUUGUUAUAUGAUUUAAGACAUUACUUUUGGGAUGAUCCACACCUUUACAAGGAAGGAGUAGAUGGUAUUAUUAGACGUAUUGUACGUGAGAAUGAACAUGGACAGAUCCUUCACAAGUAUCACUUUGAGGCCUGCAGAGGACACCAUGCUGGAGAUAGAACUGCACACAAGGUAUUACAAUCUGGUUUUUAUUGGCCUACUCUCUUCAAGGAUGCUCGUAAGUUUGUCUUGUCUCGUGAUGAAUGUCAAAGAAUUGGUAAUAUUAGUAGACAUCAGGAAAUGCCUAUGAAUUACUCUCUAGUUAUUGGACCAUUUGAUGUUUGGGGAUUUGAUUAUAUGGGACCUUUUACAAAAUCCAACGUGUAUACUCAUAUUCUAGUGGGUGUUGAUUAUGUUACUAAGUGGGUAGACACUAUUCCAACUAGUAGUGUUGAUCAUAACACUUCUAUUAAAAUGCUGAAAGAAGUUAUUUUCCCUAGAUUUGGAGUCCCUAGAUAUUUAAUGACUCAUGGUGGUUCACAAUUUAUUCAUGGUGCUUCCCGUAAAUUGCUUGCUAGGUAUGAUGUUAAUCAUAGAAUUGCAUCUCCUUAUCAUCCUCACUCUAGUGGGCAAGUAGAAUUGAGCAACACAGAAAUUAAAUUGAUCUUGCAAAAGACCGUUAAUAGAUCUAGAAAGAAUUGGUCUAAGAAACUUGACGAUGCAUUAUGGGCUUAUAGAACCGCUUACAAAAACCCUAUGGGUAUGUCUCCUUAUAAAAUGGUUUAUGGUAAAGCAUGUCACUUACCUCUAGAUCUAGAACAUAAAGCUUAUUGGGAAAUUAAAUAGCUUAACUAUGGUUUCAAACUUGCCAGUGAGAAUAGGUUAUUUGACAUUAGCUCACUUGAUGAAUGGAGAACCUAGGCCUAUGAGAAUGCCAAGUUGUUUAAAGAAAAGGUUAAGAGAUGGCAUGAUAGAAGGAUACAAAAGCGUGAAUUCAAUGUAGGUGAUCAUGUCUUGCUAUACAACUCUCGUUUAAGAUUUUUUGCAGGAAAACUUCUCUCUAAAUGGGAAGGGCCUUACCUUAUCGAGGAAGUAUAUCGUUCCGAUGCCAUCAAGAUCAACAACGCCGAAGGCACAAAUCUGAAGGUGGUAAAUGAGCAAAGAAUCAAACAUUAUAUCUAAGGUACUCCCAUAAAUGUUGAAACUAAUAUUAUCAAUACCAUAACUCCGGAAGAGUACAUUAGGGAGACCUAUCAGAACGUCUCGGACCCCGAAAAGGAAUAGGUAUGUGCUACGGUAAGCAAACCGACUCCAAAGCGUUUUCAAUGGUAAUUUUUACCAGUUUUGGAAUAUUUAAAAAUUAGGAAAAUUUAAUAUAGUCCGAAGCGUGCACGAGGAGUCGACAAGCUAGGGGCGCGGCCUACCCCCCUGGCCGCUGAUGGCCCAUAAGUGUAGCGGAUCAAUCGUACUCCUUUCGAUAAGUAAGAGUGUCGAACCCAACAAGGAGCAGAAGGAUCUGACAAGUGGUUUUCAGCAAGGUAAUCUGUGCAAGCACUGAAUUACCGGUAACAUAUAGUUGUGUGGUAAGAUGAUUCGUAGCAAGUAGCAAGUAACAAUAGUAACAACGGUGCAGAAAAGUGGCCCAAUCCUUUUUGUAGCAAGGGACAAGCCUGGACAAACUCUUAUAGGAGGUAAAGCGCUCCCGAGGACACAUGGGAAUUUCUGUCAGGCUAGUUUUCAUCAUGUUCAUAUGCUUCACGUUCGCUACUUUGAUAGUUUGAUAUGUGGGUGGACCGGCGCUUGGGUACUGAUCUUACUUGGACAAGCAUCCCACUUAUGAUUAACCCCUCUCGCAAGCAUCCUCAACUACAAAAGAAGAAUUAAGACAAAGUCUAACCAUAGCAUUAAACUAGUGGAUCCAAAUCAGCCCCUUACGAAGCAACGCAUAAACUAGGGUUUAAGCUUAUGUCACUCUAGCAACCCAUCAUCUACUUACUACUUCCCAAUGCCUUCCUCUAGGCCCAAAUAAUGGUGAAGUGUUAUGUAGUCGACGUUCACAUAACACCACUAGAGGAGAGACAACAUACAACACAUCAAAAUAUCGAACGAAUACCAAAUUCACAUGACUACUUAUAGCAAGACUUAUCCCAUGUCCUCAGGAACAAAAGUGACUACUCACAAAGCAAAAUAAUAUUAAUGACCAGAGAGGUAUUGAAUAGCAUCAAGGAUCUGAACAUAUAAUCUUCCACCAAGUAAUCCAACUAGCAUCAACUACAAAGAGUAAUUAACACGACUAGCAACCUUACAAGUACCAAUCGGAGUCGCGAGAUGGAGAUUGGUUACAAGAGAUGAACUAGGGUUUGGAGAUGAGAUGGUGCUGAUGAAGAUAUUGAUGGUGAUGAGUCCCCUCCGAUGAGAGGAGCGUUGGUGAUGACGAUGGCGACGAUUUCCCCCUCCGGGAGGGAAGUUUCCCCGGCAGGACGACCCUACCGGAGCUCUAGAUUGGUUCUGCUCAAGUUCCGCCUCGUGGCGGCGGCGAUUCCUCCUGAAAGCCUCCUCUUAAUUUUUUCUGGAACGAAACUCUCCUUAUCGCAAAAGAGGGGGGGGGGCAGAGGGCCAACAAGGAGCCCACAAGCCCCCAAGGUGCCACCGGGGGGGGGGGGGGGGGGGGNCAGCCCGCAGGCGCGCCGUGGGUGGGGGGGGGGGGUAGGUCGCGCCUAGCAGGCUUGUGGCCUCCUGCUGGCUCCGCUCUGGUACUUCUUUGGCCCAGUAUUUUGUAGAAAUUCCAAAAUAAAUCCUCGUUGAUUUUCACGGCUUUUGGAGUUGCGCAGAAUAGGUAUCUCAAACUUGCUCCCUUUUCAGGCCAGAAUUCCAGCUGCCGGCGUUCUCCCUCUUCAUGCAAACCUUGCAAAAUAAGAGAGAAAAUGCAUAAGUAUUGUACCGUGAAGUGUAAUAACAACCCAUAAAGCGAUAAAUAUCGACAUGAAAGCAUGAUGCAAAAUGGACGUAUCAACUCCCCCAAGCUUAGACCUCGCUUGUCCUCAAGCGGAAGCCGAGAUCAAUAAAUAUGCCCACAUGUUUAGAGAGAGAGGUGUCGACAAAACAAGAUACGGACAUGCAGGCAUCAUGAUCAUAGUCAGAACAACAAUAUCAUCAUAUCAUCUCUUAUGCUAAAGUGAUAAUUCCUUCACAAAGUAAAGUAUGGAUCAAGAAGCUUAAUGAGAAUUAACAACCGAUAGCCUUUAGUCAUUGAAGCAAUUGCAAUUUAUCAUAACAUCAGAAAGAGUCAAGUAAGAGUUUGUAAAGCUAAUCCACAUACUCAAUCAUCAUUUUGUCUUCUACAAUUGCUACAACUCACGUGGUACUCAUGAGAUCAAAGUUUCAGUCGGACACAGAGAAAGAUAGGGGCUUAUAGUUUCGCCUCCCAACUAUUUACCUCAAGGGUAAUGUCAACAAUAAUAAUUCAUGAAUACUUACUUCCAAGUUGACAUAUGAAUAUAGAUCUUUCCCAAGCAUAUGACGUUAGCGAAGAUAAAGGCGAGAUAGGGAAUUGGUGAAGAUCACCAUGACUCUGUAGAUCACCAUGACUCUUUCAAGGGAAAAAAGUAAAGGUACAAGAUAGGCCCUUCGCAGAGGUAAGCAGAGGUUGUCAUACGCUUUUGAGGUUUGGAUGUGCGACCUCUCAGUGUGAAGGAACGUCACUUUAUAUUGCCUCCCGUGAUAAAGAACUUUAUUAUGCAGUCUGUAGCUUUUAUGUCUUCCUCAUCACAGGUUCGUACAAAGAUUAUUUUCCACACACUAAUAGAUCAUACAUAACUAGGGAGCAAUUUUUAUUGCCUGCACCGAUGACAACUUACUUGAGGGAUCUUAUUCAAUCCAUAGGUAGGUAUGGUGGACUCUCAUGGCAAAACUGGGUUGAAGGUUUAUGGAUGCACAAGUAGUAUAUCUACUUGGUGCGGGAGUUUUGGCUGAUAUGGGGUGGAAGCAAUCGUCACAUGCUAAGGGAUCUCUAAUCAUAUAACAUUGUUUGGAACUAAGCAAAAAUAAUUCAUUAUGUUGUCUUCCUUGUCCAACAUCUACUUCUAAGCAUGUAAUAGUUUAGUGAGUGUUCACAAUCAUAGAUGGUGUCAAAGAUGGUAUAUUUAUAUGUGAACCUCUCCUUCUUUAUCACUUCCUAUUGAUUGCAACAAUGACCAAGGUCUACGUUUGUCUACCCUCAACAAGUUUCAAUCAACAUUAUUUUUAUAUGUGAACCCAUCACUUUCCGUAAGAUCAUUACAUGAUCUUUCAUGCUUUUGUUCUUUUAUGAUUCUUUUCUUUCAGAUCAUGGCAUGAGGCAAAGCCCUUAACUAAAACACUCUUUAUUAUAUGGCUCAUGAGCUCGAAUAAAUCAGGGGUGACAAAAAGCAAAACUCAAGCCUAAAACACUAAGAACUUUAUUCUACUAGAGAAAGAUAAAACCAAAAAGGAUCAAACUAAGAAAAGGUAAAGGCAAAAGAUGUGAUGGUGAUACGAUACCGGGGCAACUCUCCCAAGCUUGGCAUAAGCCAAGGGGAUUGCCCAUACCCGUGCUUAGUUGUCUUCCUUUGAUGGUGAUGGUGGUGGAGUUGUUGCAGAGGUCUUGAACUUGUUUAAUUUCCUCUUGAGCAUAAAAUUCCGCUCCUUCAGAUCAUUAAUUUCCUCUUCAAGCCUCAACACCCUUUGGCAUAAUUCCUGCUUACUCUCCUGCAAAAGACGAGAAGGGAUAAAAAAAUAUUAGGCUUCUUCCUUGAGUCAGGGAGGCUCGACUUCUUGAACUCCACAUGUGUGUCUCCAAGUUGAGGUAGAGGAGCCUCCUCCUCAUCAGAACAUGUUCCUUCCUUCCCCUUGGGAUCAUAAUCUUCUUCCUCAUCAGUGGUCAGCCAUAAGUAUCCAAGUUCCCAUAGACCUUGGGGUUAGCAAGGUAAUCGGCCACAUAGCUCUCCCCCUAUGAAUCUUGAGAAGACAUCUUGCUUUAAAUCUGCAGCAGAAAACAAGCUCGAAACGAAAACAGAAGAAAAUUGCGUGAUACGAGGGUCAGACCUUACGGGAGAAUAUAUAAUGAUUUUUUCCCGACCAGAAGGAGUACUCCGCAAGUAAAUGGAGUCUGGGAGGCACACGAGGUGGUCACAAGCCCCCCAGGCGCGGCCAGGGGGUGGCCCGUGCCUGGCAAGCUUGUCGCCUCCUCGUGCGCUUUCCAGACUACUUUAAUUUUUUUUUCUAUUUUUCUAAAAAUUCCAAAACAAAGAAAAAUUCCUACUGGAAAAGUUUUGGAGUCAGUUUACUUACCGAAUCACAUACCUCUUCGUUUUCGGAGUCUGAAACAGGCUGAUAAAUAUCCCUUAUGUUCUCCUCUGGAGUUAUGGUAUUGAUAAUAUUGCUUUCAACAUUUAUGGGAGUACCUGAGAUAUAAUGCUUGAUUCUUUGCCCAUUUACCACUCUCGGAAAAUUACCUUCCGUGUUGUUGAUCUUGAUGGCACCGGAAUGAUAUACUUCCUCAACAAUGUAGGGACCUUCCCAUUUAGAGAGAAGCUUGCCUGCAAAAAAUCUAAAACGAGAAUUAUAUAGCAAGACAUAAUCACCUACAUUGAACUCACGCUUUUGUAUCCUUUUAUCAUGCCACCUCUUAACCUUUUCUUUGAACAACUUGGCAUUCUCAUAUGCCCGAGUUCUCCAUUCAUCAAGUGAGGUAAUAUCAAACAACCUCUUCUCACCAGCAAGUUUGAAAUCAAAGUUGAGCUCUUUGAUUGCCCAAUAAGCCUUAUGCUCUAGCUCAAGAGGUAAAUGACAUGCUUUACCGUAAACCAUUUUGUACGGAGACAUGCCCAUGGGAUUCUUAUAGGCAGUUCUAUAAGCCCACAGUGCAUCAUCGAUCUUCUUAGACCAAUUCUUUCUAGACCUAUUGAUAGUCUUUUGCAGAAUUAGUUUAAUCUCUCUAUUUCUUAGCUCUACUUGACCACUGGACCGAGGAUGAUAGGGAGAUGCAAUUCUACGAUUGACAUCAUACUUAGAAAGUGUUUUACAGAAAGCACCAUGAAUGAAAUGUCAACCACCAUCGGUCAUUAGAUAUCUAGGGACUCCAAAUCUAGGGAAAAUAACUUCUUUAAGCAUCCUGAUAGAGGUGUUGUGAUCAACACUACUAGUUGGGGUAGCUUCUACCCACUUAGUGACGUAGUGAACAACAACUAGGAUAUGAGUAUACCCGUUGGAUUUUGGAAAAGGUCCCAUAUAAUCAAAGCCUCAAACAUCAAAUGGUUCAAUGAAAAGUGAAUAAUUCAUAGGCAUUUCCUGACGUUUACCGAUAUUACCUAUUCUUUGACAUUCGUCACAAGACAAGGCAAACUUACGGGCAUCCUUGAAGAGAGUGGGCCAAUAGAAACCUGAUUGCAAUACCUUGUGUGCAGUUCUAUAUCCCGCAUGGUGUCCUCCGUAGGCCUCGGAGUGACACUUCUGUAGGAUCUGUCCUUGUUCAUGUUCAGUUACACAACGUCUAAUAACACCAUCUACUCCUUCCUUAUAAAGGUGAGGAUCAUCCCAAAAGUAAUGUCUCAAAUCAAAGAAGAAUUUCUUCUUUUGCUGGUAUGUGAAACUAGGUGGUAUAUAUUUGGCAACGAUAUAGUUUGCAUAAUCAGCAUACCACGGUGUACUACGUGAAGUAUUGAUGACAUUCAAUUCCUCAGCAGGGAAGCUAUCAUCAAUAGGUUGUGGGUCAUCAAGAACAUUCUCCAACCUAGACAAGUUAUCUGCUACUGGGUUCUCAGCACCAUUCCUAUCGACAACAUGCAAAUCAAAUUCUUAUAGCAAGAGAACCCAUCUGAUAAGUCUAGGUUUAGCGUCUUUCUUUUCCAUGAGGUACUUAAUAACAACGUGAUUAGUGUGAAUAGUGACUUUGGAAUCAACAAUGCAAGACCUGAACUUUUCACAUGCAAACACGACUGCUAAAAAUUCCUUUUUCGUAGUAGCAUAGUUUCUUUGGGCACUGUCUAGAGUUUUACUAGCAUAGUGAAUAACAUUCAACUUCUUAUCAACUCUUUGUCCUAGAAUAGCGCCAACAACAUAAUCACUAACAUCACACAUGAUUUCAAAAGGUAAGUUCCAAUCAGGUGAUUGAACAAUAGGCACAGUUAUCAAGGCCUUCUUAAGUAUUUCGAAGGCUUCCUCACAAUCAUCGUUAAAAACAAAAGGAAUAUCGUUUUGCAAGAGAUUGGUAAGAGGACUAGAAAUCUUAGAGAAGUCUUUAAUGAACCUUCUAUAGAAACCACCAUGACCAAGGAAACUUCUUAUACCUUUGAUAUCUGUGGGGCAUGGCAUUUUCUCGAUCGCAUUAACCUUAGCCUUAUCGACUUCAAUACCUCUUUCAGAAAUUCUAUGUCCGAAGACGAUGCCUUCAUUAACCAUAAAGUGGCACUUCUCCCAAUUCAAGACAAGAUUGGUAUCCUUACAUCUCUACAAGACUCGAUCAAGGUUGCUAAGGCAAUCAUCAAAAGAAGACCCGUAAAUGGAGAACUCAUCCAUGAAAACCUCAACAAUCUUUUCACAAAAAGUCAGAGAAUAUAGCCAUCAUACAUCUUUGAAAGGUGGCAUGUGCGUUACAUAAGCCAAAAGGCAUACGUCUAUAAUAAAAGGUACCGAAAGGGCAGGUGAAAGUGGUUUUCUCCUAAUCAGAUUGUGCAACUGGUAUUUGGGAGAAACCAGCAUAACCAUCUAGAAAGCAGAAGUGUGUGUGUUUAGACAGUCUUUCUAGCAUUUGGUCGAUAAAAGGCAAAGGGUAAUGAUCUUUCCUAGUGGCUUUAUUCAAUUUCCUAAAAUCGAUCACCAUCCUAUAGCGAGUAAUAAUCCUGUGUGGGAUCAAUUCAUCCUUAUCAUUAGGAACAACGGUAAUACCUCCCUUCUUAGGGACGCAAUGCACCGGACUCAAUCAAUCACUAUGAGAAACAUGACAGAUAAUACAUGCUUCCAGGAGCUUUAGUAUUUCUUUUCUUACUACCUCUUUCAUCUUAGGAUUUAAUCUCCGUUGGUGAUCGGAAACUGGCUUGGAAUCAGGAUCAGUUUUAAUCUUGUGCUGGCAUAGAGUGGGACUAAUGCCCUUAAGAUCAUCAAGAGUAUAUCCAAUAGCAGCACGGUGCUUCCUCGGAGUUUUUAGUAACUUCUUUUCUUCAUGCUGUGAGAGGCUAGCACUAAUAAUAACAGGAUAUAUCUCUUUUUCACCGAGAUAAGCAUACUUAAGAGUACCAGGCAACUGUUUAAGCUCGAACACAGGAUCACCCUUUGGUAGGGGUGGAUCUCCAAGCAGUUCAACAUGCAAAUUAUUCUUAAGGAUAGGAUAUUGUUCAAAGAUAACUCUAUCUAUCUCAUCCCUUUCAUCCAUAUGCAUAUCAUUUUCAUGCUCAAGCAAGUAUUGCUCUAAAGGAUUAGUAGGAGGCACGACAAUAGAAGCUAGGGCAAUAAUUUCAUCCUUACUAGGUCACUCUUUCUCAUGAGGUUGUCUACCAAACUUGGAGAAAUUAAACUCAUGUGACACACCUUCAAAGCCAACAGUGAUAGUUUGCUUCUCACAGUCAAUAUGAGCAUUGACAGUAUUGAGAAAAGGUCUGCCAAAUAUGAUGGGACAAAAGCUAUCUUGUGUGGUAGCAAGAACGAGAAUAUCAGCAGGAUACUUCGUUUUACCACACAAGACUUCAACAUCUCUAACAAUUCCCAAAGGGCAGAUAGUAUCUUUAUUGGCAAGCUGGAUAGUGACAUCAAUAGGUUCCAUCUCAACAGGUGUAAUCUCGUCCUUAAUUUCAUCAUAUAAGGAUUGAGGUAUUGCACUAACACUAGUACCCACGUCACAUAAACCAUGAUAACAAUGAUCUUUCCUAUCUUAACAGAAACAACAGGCGUGCCAACAACAGGCCUAUGUUGAUCUCUAGCAUGUGGUUUAGCAAUUCUAGCAGCAUCUUCACACAAGUGAAUAUCAUGGCCAUCAACAUUGUCGGACAGGAGAUAUUUGAUAAUAGCAAUGCUAGGUUCAACUCUAAUUUUCUCAGGGGGUGUAGGUGUUCUAAUAUAGCCCCUACGUAUUACAGUUGAAACUUUAGAAUGAUCCUUUAUCCUAACAGGGAAAGGUGGUUUCUCAAUGUAAGCACUGGGAACAAUAGGAUCAUUAUAAGUGAUGACUUUCUCUUCAACUGGAUUGGGUUUAACUACAUUGACUUCCAAGGGAGGAUGAUAUUUAAACCACUUCUCUUUAGGGAGAUCAAUAUGAGCAGAAAAUGAUUCACACAAUGAAGCUACUAUCUUAGAGUCAAGUCCAUAUUUAGCGCUAAAAUCACUAAAAUUAUCUGUUUCAACAAAGGAUUUAACGCAAUCAAACUUGAAAUUCAUACCUAACUCCUUACCUUCAUCAAACUCCCAAUCUUCAGAGUUGCGUUUAAGUCUUUCAAAUAAAUUCCAUCUGAAGUCAAUAUCUCUCUUCAUAAAAGAACCGGUACAAGAAGUGUCAAGCAUGGUGCGAUCAUCAUGAGAAAGCCGAGCAUAGAAGUUCUGAAUGAUAAUUUCUCUCGAGAGCUCAUGGUUGGGGCAUGAAUAUAACAUUGAUUUAAGCCUCCCCUAGCUUGAGCUAUGCUUUCUCUGUCACGAGGUAAAAAAUUAUAAAUAUAAUUCCGACCACGAUGUACUAAAUGCAUAGGAUACAACUUUUGAUGAAAUUCCAAUUUCAACCGGUUGUAGUUCCAUGAUCCAGUAUCAUCACAUAACCUAUACCAUGUCAAUUCUUUAUCCCUCAAAGAUAAGUGAAAGACCGUUUUCUUGACCUCAUCCUCGGGUAUACCUGCAAGCUUAAAUAAACCACAAACUUCAUCUACAUAGAUUAGAUGCAAGUCGGGAUGUGAUGUUCCAUCUCCUGUAAAAGGAUUAGCCAGCAGUUUCUCAAGCAUACCCGAAGGAAAUUCAUAGAAAAUAUUUUCAGUAGGUGCAGCAGGUUGAGGAGCAAUUCCUUGUGCUUCCACUCGAGGUGAAGAUACCCCUAACAAGCUCCUCAAAGGAUUAGUUUCCAUAGUGACAAGUGACAAUAAAUUUCAGCACACUAUAUAAAUGUUUCCUUACCAAAUUCCACUUACCAAAGGCGCUUCACUCCCCGGCAACGGCGCCAGAAAUGAGUCUUGAUGGCCCACAAAUGUAGGGGAUCAAUUUUAGUCCUUUCGAUAAGUAAGAGUGUCGAACCCAACGAGGAGAAGGAUGAUCUGACAAGUGGUUUUUAGCAAGGUAAUCUGUGCAAGCACUGAAAUUGUCGAUAACAGAUAGUUGUGUGGUAAGAUGAUUCGUAGCAAGUAGCAAGUAACAGUAGUAACAACGGUGCAGCAAAGUGGCCCAAUCCAUUUUGUAGCAAGGGACAAGCCUGGAUAAACUCUUAUAGGAGGUAAAGCGCUCCUGAGGACACAUGGGAAUUUCUGUCAGGCUAGUUUUCAUCAUGUUCAUAUGCUUCGCAUUCGCUACUUUGAUAGUUUGAUAUGUGGGUGGACCGGCGCUUUGGUACUGCCCUUACUUGUACAAGCAUCCCACUUAUGAUUAACCCCUCUUGCAAGCAUCCGCAACUACGGAAGA